rfam:Bacillus sp. MRMR6 scaffold_27, whole genome shotgun sequence.
AAAAAAGCUUUCUAGGGUUCCGUUUAAAGAUUGUUCUUUAAAGACUGGUCCGAGAGGAAGCGUACAGCCUUGACGGUUGUAUACACGGAAGGACAAAAGCCUGGGAGAU